rnacentral:rRNA from 1 species
ACGGGUGAGUAAUGCUUAGGAAUCUGCCUAUUAGUGGGGGACAACAUUUCGAAAGGAAUGCUAAUACCGCAUACGUCCUACGGGAGAAAGCAGGGGAUCUUCGGACCUUGCGCUAAUAGAUGAGCCUAAGUCGGAUUAGCUAGUUGGUGGGGUAAAGGCCUACCAAGGCGACGAUCUGUAGCGGGUCUGAGAGGAUGAUCCGCCACACUGGGACUGAGACACGGCCCAGACUCCUACGGGAGGCAGCAGUGGGGAAUAUUGGACAAUGGGCGCAAGCCUGAUCCAGCCAUGCCGCGUGUGUGAAGAAGGCCUUAUGGUUGUAAAGCACUUUAAGCGAGGAGGAGGCUACUGAAGUUAAUACCUUCAGAUAGUGGACGUUACUCGCAGAAUAAGCACCGGCUAACUCUGUGCCAGCAGCCGCGGUAAUACAGAGGGUGCAAGCGUUAAUCGGA